AUGUGUAUAUAUAUAUAUAUAUGCAUAUAUGUAUAUAUAAACAAUUAUAUUAAUUUAUUUCUAUGGAGUUUUAAAUGUUAUGUUUGUUUUUACACCACGAUAAUGUUUUGUAUGUUGAUGCACUUGCAAUGCUUUUUAUUUAAGAAAACAAUCGAUCAAAUAAGGGGUGUUAUACCACUGUUUAAACCACCUAGAGUAGACUGUUUUAAACCAUCUAGAGUAGACUGUUUUAAACCAUCUAGAGUAGACUGUUUUAAACCAUCUAGAGUAGACUGUUUUAAACCAUCUAGAGUAGACUGUUUUAAACCAUCUAGAGUAGACUGUUUAAACCACCUAGAGUAGACUGUUUUAAACCAUCUAGAGUAGACUGUUUUCAACCAUCUAGAGUAGACUGUUUUAAACCAUCUAGAGUAGACUGUUUUAAACCAUCUAGAGUAGACUGUUUUAAACCAUCUCGACUCAGACACUUCCAAGCACAUCGUUCAUGUUACACCACCACCUAGAAAAUAGACGUUAGCUCUGUGUCCAUCUCCUCCAUAUGGGCGAUUUAACCCAACAGACAAUGAGAGAGGGAGGAAAGUAAACCCAAGAGCAAAGCACAGAAUGAAGAAACAGAGGCAGUAUGUGUACUGUAGUCAGCACCAAGGCUAUGUCGCUAGCUAGCUAGCUGUAAUCCCAGGGGCUGUUUGCUGUUGGUGAUGGUUCGUGUUAGCGAUGAGGCAGGGGUGUACAAAGAUGUAAUGGGUUGAGGGAGAUAGCCAUGUUUCCAUAAACCUAAGGUGAGUUUUCUGAAAGCUUUAUGGCUAACGUGGUACUUCAUUUCUCUCAACAAUCAAGACUCAAACCCCAUGUAGAACAUCAAACAUUGAUUUUGCAAUUGGUGCUAUCAUGGUUGAGUUGUCAAGAUAUACAAAGUGCCACGUUAGCUAUGAAGCUGAGUUCUGAGGUGUGUGGCUUGAAGUGAGAAAGGCUAAGGACAGCAGGUGAGACGGGCUAAGAACAGGUGGUGUCUAGAUGACUUAAGAAGGUGUUUCAAAAGGGGUGUGUGUCAGUUUUAUGGUGUGACGUGACUGAAGAGAUUUUUAGUUGAUCACACAGACAGUUGUCCAUGGUAAAACAGACACACAGACAGUUGUGCAUGGUAAAACAGACACACAGACAGUUGUCCAUGGUAAAACAGACAUACAGACAGUUGGUUUGGGUCGAGACGGGGCUGGUGUGAGAAUGAAAACCACUGACUAAAGGGGGGUAACUAACUCAGUCUUUGGUUGGAUGACAGACCUCACCUCCUUGACGUAGACUCAAACCAACAUGUCUGAACAUCAUCAAACUAACUAACAUUCGCACACAAUCUCUCUCUCUCUCUAGGAGAGGUCCAUCAACUAAUAUUAGUGUUCUUUAUCCAUUUGUGUAGAGCUGUGUUUAAUAAACUCCAGAGGAGAGGAGUGAUGGAAAGAAAAAUAAAGAUGAAUUUACUACUCUGUGAUUUGUGAUUUCUGUCUGUGUGUCUGUCCUGAUGGGGCCAGAUAACCACGAGGGAGAGAGAGAGUAGAGAGGGAACAAAAGAAAGAGAGAGAACGAAAGAGACAGACAGAGAGAGAGAGACACUGAAAGAAGGAAAGACCUGUUCAGGGAGUUUAAACAGAAGCAUUAUUUCUGUACCUGUGUGAGUGCUUGUGCCUAUGAACAGCUCUCCUUGAAAAAAUAAAUAAAACACCUUACACAUAAAAUAGGUGAAAUGACUCCUAAAAUGCGACAGCUUUGGACACGCUCUCUAUGAUAGAUUAUAACAUAUGUCUGUAGGGUUGUAGAGGCUGUAGGGUUCACAUGAAGCCGAGACUCCUGGCUGAACUUGUGCUCCAGUGAACCUGCCAACUACUGCACAGAAUAGUACUUCCCACCAGGGAGGGAAUGGAAAGAGGGAGGAAGGAAGGAGGGGUGUGGCAGAGGAGGAGCAUGGGGAGGUUAUAUUAUAGGGAAAGGCAGAGAUGUAGAGGAGGCUAUUAGGAGAGGUAAAGUGUGAGGAAGGGAGGUGGGGGAAUGGGAGGAGAAGGUGAGGGAUAAUGGAGGGAUUGGAGGAUGAGAAGUAGAGAAAGAAACAGAAGGAGGAUGUUUUCAGUUGGUCCAUUGCUUUAGCGUGAAAUAGGACCUGAUGAUGUGGUAGUCUGGAUAAGGACCCUCAGAGCGGUCCACGGUGAAUGUAGAGCAAUUUAACAUUAUUCACUAACUAUCUCCGCCUCGGAAAGUCCCAGCACUGCCAGGGUGUGUGUGUGUGUGUGUGUGUGUGUGUGUGUGUGUGUGUGUGUGUGUGUGUGUGUGUGUGUGUGUGUGUGUGUGUGUGUGUGUGUGUGU
rnacentral:lncRNA from 13 species